rnacentral:lncRNA from 1 species
CUUUGAACCAUCCGGUGUAGACCACAGUGCCCUAGGGAGAUGGGUCCAGGAGCUAAAGGUGAAAGAUCCGACAUCCCCAAGCGAUCAGGUGUGAGAGAGCAGCCGUCUUCGACAGGGUCCCCAGGAAACAUACCGUCACGCAGAAGGCUUCCAGGAGAAUGUUCUCAGGAGACAUUUUGGUCAUCAAGUGGGAAGGUAGGACUGGGCAAAGGGAGAAGCUGGUCCUUUAUAAGGUCA